UGACGGUACCAUAGGAGGAAGCCCCGGCUAACUACGUGCCAGCAGCCGCGGUAAUACGUAGGGGGCGAGCGUUGUCCGGAAUGAUUGGGCGUAAAGGGCGCGUAGGCGGCCCGUUAAGUCUGGAGUGAAAGUCCUGCUUUUAAGGUGGGAAUUGCUUUGGAUACUGAUGGGCUCGAGUGCAGGAGAGGAAAGCGGAAUUACCGGUGUAGCGGUGAAAUGCGUAGAGAUCGGUAGGAACACCAGUGGCGAAGGCGGCUUUCUGGACUGAAACUGACGCUGAGGCGCGAAAGCGUGGGGAGCAAACAGGAUUAGAUACCCCUG
rnacentral:rRNA from 1 species